rnacentral:misc_RNA from 1 species
AAUUCUCAAUCUCUACAACUUUUGUUGUUAGCAGGUUGGAUGUGGGGGUUUAUUGUGGGCGUUACAACCUACUCCCCUGAAAUGAAUUAGCUGGAAUGCCUCGGCAAAUCCAACUAUCAGUGUGAUAAAUAUCUUACUGUGGUUGUUGCUUUUGAGGGUAUCCGCUUCUCAACUGUCUGCAAAGACAACUUGAAUCA